rnacentral:lncRNA from 1 species
UCUUUACACUUGAGCACAUACUUAAUCAUAGUCACCACUUACUAGUUCACAAUUAACCAAUUAAAACAAUGUUUUGAAUGUAGUAACAUGCCUUAGAGAAUUUUCUCAAUUCCUUACAAGAUACUCUCUAUUUUCACACACAUUUUCUGACUACACACCCUACACUAGUAUAUGUGAGAAGAUUCAUGUAAAUACGAAAGACUAGGACUCACAUAUGUUAUAACAAAGAAAGCAAUUUUCUAGAGUUAUUAAGCAUGUUUAGAUAUGAUCUUAUGAAUGGAAUGCUACUACUUAGAUGCGAGAACCAGUGACACCAUAUGCUCAUACCAAUUUCGAACUCCACAAAUUGAAGCACACAACACUCAAGAUUGAAGUCAAGGGUUGUAACAAGGCUUGGGGGUAAUGGCUAACAAAGAAAGGAUAGGGAUAACAAACAUUCUUAAAGCGAUAGCAAGCAAAGAAAUGAAAUAGACAUUUGGAAAUCACUUUAGAAUGCAGAAUCAACUUUUAAAUGCAAAGGGAAGAUUCAUGCAACACUUAGGGCCGAAUUCAAUGUUUUGAACCCUUUCUUUAACAAACAACACUUUAGAGCUCUUUUUCAUACUUUUUUUUCAAUUCUUUUU